rfam:Oryza meridionalis cultivar OR44 (W2112) chromosome 1, whole genome shotgun sequence.
UUUAAACGCAACCAUAAGUUUCCGUGUCCAACUUUAAUCAUCUGUAUUAUUAAAAAAAUUUUAGAUUAGUAUUUUUAUUAUUAUAUCAGAUGAUAAAACAUGAAUAGAAUUUUAUGCGUGACUUAUAUUUUUAUUUUUUCGAAACAAUUUCAAAUAAGACGGACGAUCAAAUCUGGAUAUGGAAACUAAUGACUACCUUAGAA